UACCAGCACCCCGAGUGGUCGGGACGUUUAUUGGGCCUAAAGCAUCCGUAGCCGGUUCUACAAGUCUUCCGUUAAAUCCAGCUGCUUAACAGAUGGGCUGCGGAAGAUACUAUGGAGCUAGGAGGCGGGAGAGGCAAGCGGUACUCGAUGGGUAGGGGUAAAAUCCGUUGAUCCAUUGAAGACCACCAGUGGCGAAGGCGGCUUGCCAGAACGCGCUCGACGGUGAGGGAUGAAAGCUGGGGGAGCAAACGGGG
rnacentral:rRNA from 1 species